rnacentral:lncRNA from 1 species
GGGGAGAGGGAAGAAGGGGUAGGUGGGUAUUGGAAGGGACAGGAGAGAAGUACAGAGAAUCAUGAAAUUGAAUAGAAAUAUGUAGCAGAGGGGGAUGGGGAGCUGGGGGUAGCCACUAGAAAGUCCCAGACUCCAGGGAAGUGAGAGGCUUCGAGGAGCCAAUGGUGAUGACUUUAGCUAAAAUUGGAAGGUACAACCUAUAGAGACUAUCUCCAGUAGAUAGGCACAACCCACAGUAGAGUGACAGGGACACUCAUACGUCUUAAAAAUUUUAACCCAGAAAUGCUCCUUUUCAAAGGAAAGACAGGGACAGAAAAACUAAUAGAGACUGAAGGAAAGGCCACCCAGACACCAUCCCACCUAGGGAUUCAUCCUGUCUGCAUACACCAAACCCCCAUACUCUUGCUGAUGUCAUUCAUGCCUUUUUUAUAUUGUCCCUUUUCUCAAAUAGUCCCUCUUCUAUUUUAAUGGCAUAUGUACACAAAUGGUAAAAAAUGACAGGUACUAGCUAGCUAGCUAGCUAGAUAGAUACAUAGAUUGAUAUAUAGAUAGAUACAUAGAUAGAUACAUAGAUACAUAGAUACAUAGAUAGAUGAUAGUAGGUGAUAGAUAUUAGGUUGAUAAAUAGAGUGCCUUCCAAUUUGUGAGGAAAUAUGUGAUAUGAUUU